AGCGCCACCUGCUUCCUGCGGCAAGUGCAUGGCGGCUUCCUGUUUACAUUUUUGAACUCCGCAUGCUUUCAACUUCCAAGCUUGACGCUGUUGUUCAUGACAUUGUGAAAAAUAUAUGGAUAUAUAUGGGUGGUGAUGAUAUUUAGCAUCAUCCGGAAAGUCAAGCAUCGAUAUUUGGUCUACGACAAUUUGCCUACUGGUCAUCAAAGGGCUCGGUACAACGUAAGCUUUGCCUUUUUCUGGCAAUAGAUGCUGGAAUUUUUUCAAAACGCCAACUACACGUGCAAGCUUACUUUGAAGAUGUUCUUUGUGACUAUCCCAUAGCAUGAAUUCAUUAAAGUAGACUCCAAGCAUUCUGUGUUAGUAAUUUCUAUGGCAUUCCCUCCUAAGCUUGCAGAUAUUGAACAGCUGAUGGUGCGACAAGAAUCCCAGUAUCUUCCUUGCUGUACAUUUUGAAACAAUUCUUGAACAUACAAUUUCCGUCGUGAAGUGGUACAUCC